rnacentral:misc_RNA from 1 species
ACCGAGGAUCAUUCAGUUGGGACAAAAAUCACUAGUUACGGGCAAAGACGAAACGUUGCCAUCGUACCCAUUGCACAUUCCGUAUCCGAGAGCUCAAGCGAGCGUUCAUGGGCCAAAACAACUACAAUCGAAAUUCGAGUUACGUGGGACACGAACGACGCUUCAAGGUUCACCGCGUCGAAAGCCCGUAGCAAAACGGGCGGACGCCGAGCGAAUGAUACGCGAUUUUGGCAGCAAAAUUCCAUAUCGUAGGCAUGCAACACAGGAAACCAUUAAAAUUGGCGGCCAAGGCAAGGUGCUCUUGUACCAUUACAUGAAGAGGAAUGCACGGCUAGCCGUCACUGCCACAACAAUGAUCCAACCAACCCAUACAAGA